CUCCAAUGCAUUUUCGCACACCAUCAGGCCAUAUGCCAAAGAACGAACACUACAAUUUUCACUCUCGACACGAUUGAGAACCCAUUUCGACAUGGCCCCCACAUCGACUCGAGAGUGGGGGGCUUAAUGAUAUGCCUAAUUGGGUCAACCCAAUGGGCCUACAAUUUAUUUACCUACUGGGCCACGAGCCCAAUAUCGAAGACCA
rnacentral:lncRNA from 1 species